UACGUAGGUGGCAAGCGUUGUCCGGAUUUAUUGGGUUUAAAGGGUGCGUAGGCGGCCUUGUAAGUCAGUGCUGAAAUAUCCCGGCUUAACCGGGAGGGUGGCAUUGAUACUGCAGGGCUUGAGUAAAGUUGAGGUUGGCGGAAUUGACGGUGUAGCGGUGAAAUGCUUAGAUAUCGUCAAGAACACCGAUAGUGAAGACA
rnacentral:rRNA from 1 species